GAGGGCGCGUAUCGGAUUAUUGGGCGUAAGAGCUCGUAGGCGGUUUGUCGCGUCUGCUGUGAAAUCCCGAGGCUCAACCUCGGGCCUGCAGUGGGUACGGGCAGACUAGAGUGCGGUAGGGGAGAUUGGAAUUCCUGGUGUAGCGGUGGAAUGCGCAGAUAUCAGGAGGAACACCGAUGGCGAAGGCAGAUCUCUGGGCCGUAACUGACGCUGAGGAGCGAAAGGGUGGGGAGCAAACAGGCUUAGAUACCCUGGUAGUCCACCCCGUAAACGUUGGGAACUAGUUGUGGGGUCCAUUCCACGGAUUCCGUGACGCAGCUAACGCAUUAAGUUCCCCGCCUGGGGAGUACGGCCGCAAGGCUAAAACUCAAAGGAAUUGACGGGGACCCGCACAAGCGGCGGAGCAUGCGGAUUAAUUCGAUGCAACGCGAAGAACCUUACCAAGGCUUGACAUAUACGAGAACGGGCCAGAAAUGGUCAACUCUUUGGACACUCGUAAACAGGUGGUGCAUGGUUGUCGUCAGCUCGUGUCGUGAGAUGUUGGGUUAAGUCCCGCAACGAGCGCAACCCUCGUUCUAUGUUGCCAGCACGUAAUGGUGGGAACUCAUGGGAUACUGCCGGGGUCAACUCGGAGGAAGGUGGGGAUGACGUCAAAUCAUCAUGCCCCUUAUGUCUUGGGCUUCACGCAUGCUACAAUGGCCGGUACAAAGGGCUGCAAUACCGUGAGGUGGAGCGAAUCCCAAAAAGCCGGUCCCAGUUCGGAUUGAGGUCUGCAACUCGACCUCAUGAAGUCGGAGUCGCUAGUAAUCGCAGAUCAGCAACGCUGCGGUGAAUACGUUCCCGGGUCUUGUACACACCGCCCGUCAAGUCAUGAAAGUCGGUAACACCUGAAGCCGGUGGCCUAACCCUUGUGGAGGGAGCCGUCGAAGGUGGGAUCGGUAAUUAGGAUAAUCUAGGGGGGGGGAGCCCGAAAAAAAAAACCAAGAAAGGAGA
rnacentral:rRNA from 1 species